rnacentral:tRNA from 2 species
GCUAACGUAGCUCAGUUGGUAGAGCAACGGUUUCGUAAACCGUAGGUCGUGGGUUCGAGUCCCACCGCUAGCUCCA